AUCGAACGCUGGCGGCAGGCCUAACACAUGCAAGUCGAGCGGAGCGGCGGACGGGUGAGUAAUGCCUAGGAAUCUGCCUGGUCGUGGGGGAUAACGUCCGGAAACGGGCGCUAAUACCGCAUACUAUCAGAUGAGGCUAGGUCGGAUUAGCUAGUUGGUGGGGGAAAGGCCUACCAAGGCGACGAUCCGUAACUGGUCGGAGAGGAUGAUCAGUCACACGGGAACUGAGACACGGUCCAGACUCCUACGGGAUGCAGGAGUGGGGAAUAUGGGACAAUGGGCGAAAGCCUGAUCCAGCCAGGCGGCGUGUGGGAAGAAGGUCUUCGGAUUGUAAAGCACUUUAAGUUGGGAGGCGUUACCAACAGAAUAAGCACCGGCUAACUUCGUGCCAGCCGCCGCGGUAAUAC
rnacentral:rRNA from 1 species